rnacentral:rRNA from 1 species
ACGCACGCUGGCGGCGUGCUUCACACAUGCAAGUCGAACGGAAAGGCCCCCUUGUGGGGUACUCGAGUGGCGAACGGGUGAGUAACACGUGAGUAACCUACCCUUGACUUUGGGAUAACUUCAGGAAACUGGGGCUAAUACCGGAUAGGAGCUCCUGCUGCAUGGUGGGGGUUGGAAAGUUUCGGCGGUUGGGGAUGGACUCGCGGCUUAUCAGCUUGUUGGUGGGGUAGUGGCUCACCAAGGCUUUGACGGGUAGCCGGCCUGAGAGGGUGACCGGCCACAUUGGGACUGAGAUACGGCCCAGACUCCUACGGGAGGCAGCAGUGGGGAAUAUUGCACAAUGGGCGGAAGCCUGAUGCAGCAACGCCGCGUGCGGGAUGACGGCCUUCGGGUUGUAAACCGCUUUCGCCUGUGACGAAGCGUGAGUGACGGUAAUGGGUAAAGAAGCACCGGCUAACUACGUG